AUACGGAGGAUGCAAGCGUUAUCCGGAUUUAUUGGGUUUAAAGGGUGCGUAGGCGGGACUGUAAGUCAGGGGUGAAAUACUGCAGCUUAACUGUAGCAUUGCCUUUGAAACUGCCGUUCUUGAGUACAGUUGAGGUAGGCGGAAUGUGGUGUGUAGCGGUGAAAUGCAUAGAUAUACCACAGAACGCCGAUUGCGAAGGCAGCUUACUAAGCUGUUACUGACGCUGAGGCACGAAAGCGUGGGGAUCAAACAGGAUUAGAUACCCUGGUAGUCCACGCUGUAAACGAUGAUUACUGGUUGUUAGCGAUAUAUAGCUAGUGACUGAGCGAAAGCAUUAAGUAAUCCACCUGGGGAGUACGUCGGCAACGAUGAAACUUAAAGGAAUUGACGGGG
rnacentral:rRNA from 1 species